rnacentral:rRNA from 1 species
ACACGACUACAUUAGAUACCCGCGUAGUCCCAGCCCUAAACGAUGCGCGUUAGGUGUAUCGGUGACCACGAGUCACCGAGGUGCCGAAGGGAAACCGUGAAACGUGCCGCCUGGGAAGUACGGUCGCAAGGCUGAAACUUAAGGAAGUUGGCGGGGAGCACCACAACGGGUGGAGCCUUGCGGUUUAAUUGGACUCAACGCCGGGAAGCUCACCGGAUAAGACAGCGGAAUGAUUGCCGGGCUGAAGACCCUGCAUGACCAGCUG